CUGGUGUCAGCCGCCCCGGUAAUACCAGCACCCCGAGUGGUCGGGACGAUUAUUGGGCCUAAAGCAUCCGUAGCCGGUACUGCAAGUCUUCCGUUAAAUCCACCUGCUUAACAGUUGGGCUGCGGGGGAUACUACAGCGCUAGGAGGCGGGAGAGGCAAGCGGUACUCAGUGGGUAGGGGUAAAAUCCGCUGAUCCAUUGAAGACCACCAGUGGCGAAGGCGGCUUGCCAGAACGCGCUCGACGGUGAGGGAUGAAAGCUGGGGGAGCAAACCGGAUUAGAUACCCGGGUAGUCCCAGCUGUAAACGAUGCAGACUCGGUGAUGGGCUGGCUUUGUGCCAGCCCAGUGCCGCAGGGAAGCCGUUAAGUCUGCCGCCUGGGGAGUACCGGCCCCGAAAAUUAAACUUAAAG
rnacentral:rRNA from 2 species